CAAAAUGUAGCUUAAAUAAAGCCCUUCGCUUACACCGAAAAAAUAUCUGUUAAAUCCAGAUCACUUUGA
rnacentral:tRNA from 1 species